UAAGCAAAAUAAACAACACAUCCUACCUCCCACAGUCACACUGUAGUCACACUUGGCAACAGUGAGUUUUUUGGACCUGCACACGCUAUACAAGAUGGUUUUGGUACAAACUGAGACCGAUGGGAAUAAGACAGUAAAUAUGAUUUUGUAAUUGUACAUUAGUUUUGAUAGACAGUUCUGUGGGCUUUUCAUGUACAGAAAAUAAAUGGCGAACCUAACUGUGUUUGGAUUAAGG
rnacentral:lncRNA from 1 species